rnacentral:rRNA from 1 species
GAUGAACGCUGGCGGCGUGCCUAAUACAUGCAAGUCGAGCGAACAGAUAAGGAGCUUGCUCCUUUGACGUUAGCGGCGGACGGGUGAGUAACACGUGGAUAACCUACCUAUAAGACUGGGAUAACUUCGGGAAACCGGAGCUAAUACCGGAUAACAUAUUGAACCGCAUGGUUCAAUAGUGAAAGGCGGCUUUGCUGUCACUUAUAGAUGGAUCCGCGCCGUAUUAGCUAGUUGGUAAGGUAACGGCUUACCAAGGCAACGAUACGUAGCCGGACUGAGAGGGUGAUCGGGCACACUGGAACUGAGAAAAGGUCCCGACUCCUAAGGGAAGGAGCAGGAGGGGAUCUUCCGCAAUGGGCGAAAGCCUGACGGAGCAACGCCGCGUGAGUGAUGAAGGUCUUCGGAUCGUAAAACUCUGUUAUCAGGGAAGAACAAAUGUGUAAGUAACUGUGCACAUCUUGAAGGUAACUGAUCAGAAAGCCAAGGCUAACUACGUG